GUCCUCCGGGACGCAGCAGUGAGGAAUAUUGGUCAAUGGUCGGGAGACUGAACCAGCCAAGUCGCGUGAGGGAUGACGGCCCUACGGGUUGUAAACCUCUUUUGUCGGGGAGCAAAGAGAGUCACGUGUGGCUCAUUGAGAGUACCCGAAGAAAAAGCAUCGGCUAACUCCGUGCCAGCAGCCGCGGUAAUACGGAGGAUGCGAGCGUUAUCCGGAUUUAUUGGGUUUAAAGGGUGCGCAGGCGGAGGUGCAAGUCAGUGGUCAAAUUGCGGGGCUCAACCCCGUACUGCCGUUGAAACUGCAUC
rnacentral:rRNA from 1 species